GCACCACUUCCUGUCAAAUGUUCUCUUUCCCACCUCAAAACCUGCUUGUGGUCUCAAGGUCACCUCGGUGUGUUGUUGUAAAAAUAUAAAGAUAAAAAAAAUAGUUGUCUUUUAUCCCGAUAGGUCCUGCAUCGCGGUGCCCCAAGAUAAUUGCCCACUUAAACAUGCAAAGCCCGGCACCAUCCAUCCCUUAGGAACAUUGAUAACAACCUGUAAAUACACAGAGCGAGAGCUUUAUAUCAGCCUUCAUCAUCCUGCCAUGGCUUCCCUCUCUCUCCCCCUCCUGUCUCUCCCUCUCUCUGCUCCAGUCCCCUCCUCUUCCUUCACACUUUUCUCCCGCCCAUCCUUCCUUCUCAUCCAAUGACAGGCCUCCUUCUAUCUUGUGCCUGCCUCACCUGUGACAUCAUCCUACAUCGGUGACCACAUUUUCUAAAGGGAAUGGCUUGUGCAUCUGAUUCCCCUUCCAGGACCGACCUAUGCUGCUCUUUCCUCUGUUUCAAAGAGAGACCAGAGAUCAGUCAGCUGAGGCUGCAGCCUGGUCACUGUCCUAGCACAGGACCUACCAGCCCUGCCGAAUGCAGAUUCCCAGCCUUCAGACUAGAGAUGUGCAUGCCAUGAAGCCACCAAACCUGUGCACUUCGUCACGGCAGCCGGAAGUCCUGAGCCAGCUGUGCUGCAGCUGCUGGAGGGAGAACCACCGCACACCUCCUAGCACUUACAUGCUGCUCUCAGGUUAGGGGAUCCACCAUUGAGAAGACAACGUUCAUUCGGGACAAGUAUGCCACUAUGUCAUUUUUUUAAAAUUCUCUAAGCAAUCAGCCACAGCCCUUCGACACGGCCCAGACCAGAUAAGUAGAAUUCCUUGGGUUUAGUCUGAGUAGAGGGAACGUUCCUACCAGAACUGUGGAACUAGAAGGCUGUGUUCAUGAGACAUUCAUGGCUACCUCCCUCUCUCCUCAUGACCGCCACAUCUAACAGGGAAGGAAAGCCCAUCUGAAGUGAGAGCAGAGACAGGUACUGAGAAAUGACUCUGGAGAGACAUAGGGAGUCCCACCUCAACUCUGUAAGUCCCCAUGAUGGUCAGCUUUUGUUCUAUGAGCCCUUUGGUGUUUAAUUUGCACGAUUUAUGCCCCUGGCACCUAACUGGGAUUAUACAAACAUAUAUGCCAUUGGCAAAUCAAUUACCCAAACUAUUUAUUCCUUACUUAGAACCCUUCUCGGUCCACACUUGAUUUUCAAAUCUAAUCUCUUCUGUACAUUAUAAAUGGCAUUUAUUUACCAUCCCCUGAACACACUUGUACUUUCUUUCUUACACCCAGACUGAAGCAAAACAGUUCCUAUCUGUGAAGGUUUGCAUACGACGCUCGGCCCAAGGAGUGGCACUAUUAGGUGUGACUCUGUUGGAGUAGGUGUGGCCUUGUUGGAGUAGGUGUAUCACUUUGGGUGUGGGCUCUAAGCCCUCCUGCUAGCUGCCUGGAGGCCAGGAUUCUCCUAGCAGCCUUUUGAUGAAGAUGUAGAACUCUCAGCUCCUCCUGCACCAUGCCUGCCUGGAUGCUGCCAUGUUCCUGCCUUGAUGAUAAUGGACUGAACCUCUGAACCUGUAUGUCAGCCUCAAUUAAAUGUUGUCCUGAGGA